rnacentral:rRNA from 1 species
UGGGGAAUAUUGCACAAUGGGCGCAAGCCUGAUGCAGCCAUGCCGCGUGUGUGAAGAAGGCCUUCGGGUUGUAAAGUACUUUCAGCGGGGAGGAAGGGAGUAAAGUUAAUACCUUUGCUCAUUGACGUUACCCGCAGAAGAAGCACUGGCUAACCCCGUGCCAGCAGCUGCGGUAAUACGGUGGGUGCAAGCGUUAAUCGGAAUUGCUGGGCGUAAAGCGCACGCAGGCGGUUUGUUAAGUCAGAUGUGAAAUCCCCGGGCUCAACCUGGGAACUGCAUCUGAUACUGGCAAACUUGAGUCUCGUAGAGGGGGGUAGAAUUCCAAGUGUAGCGGUGAAAUGCGUAGAGAUCUGGAGGAAUACCGGUGGCGAAGGCGGCCCCCUGGACGAAGACUGACGCUCAGGUGCGAAAGCGUGGGGAGCAAACAGG